rnacentral:misc_RNA from 1 species
GAUGAAGAACGUAGCGAAAUGCGAUAAGUAAUGUGAAUUGCAGAAUUCAGUGAAUCAUCGAAUCUUUGAACGCACAUUGCGCCCCCUGGUAUUCCGGGGGGCAUGCCUGUCCGAGCGUCAUUACAACCCUCAAGCUCAGCUUGGUGUUGGGCCCCGCCGCCCCGGCGGGCCCUAAAGUCAGUGGCGGUGCCGUCCGGCUCCGAGCGUAGUAAUUCUUCUCGCUCUGGAGGUCCGGUCGUGUGCUCGCCAGCAACCCCCAAUUUUUUUCAGGUUGACCUCGGAUCAGGUAGGGAUACCCGCCGAACUUAAGCAUAUCAAUAAGCGGAGGA